UACGUAGGGUGCGAGCGUUGUCCGGAAUUAUUGGGCGUAAAGGGCUCGUAGGCGGUUUGUCGCGUCGGGCGUGAAAACUCAGGGCUUAACCCUGAGCCUGCUUCCGAUACGGGCAGACUAGAGGUAUGCAGGGGAGAACGGAAUUCCUGGUGUAGCGGUGAAAUGCGCAGAUAUCAGGAGGAACACCAGUGGCGAAGGCGGUUCUCUGGGCAUUACCUGACGCUGAGGAGCGAAAGUGUGGGGAGCGAACAGG
rnacentral:rRNA from 1 species